rnacentral:rRNA from 1 species
AACUUUUGACGGUGGAUCUCUUGGCUCACGCAUCGAUGAAGAACGCAGCCAGCUGCGAUAAGUAGUGUGAAUUGCAGAAUUCAGUGAAUCAUCGAAUCUUUGAACGCAAAUGGCGCUCUUGGGUUCUCCCAGGAGCAUGUCUGUCUGAGUGUCGGAUCCACAUCCAUC